rnacentral:rRNA from 1 species
UACGGAGGGAGCUAGCGUUGUUCGGAAUUACUGGGCGUAAAGCGCACGUAGGCGGCUUUGUAAGUUAGAGGUGAAAGCCCGGGGCUCAACCCCGGAAUUGCCUUUAAGACUGCAUCGCUUGAAUCCGGGAGAGGUGAGUGGAAUUCCGAGUGUAGAGGUGAAAUUCGUAGAUAUUCGGAAGAACACCAGUGGCGAAGGCGGCUCACUGGACCGGUACUGACGCUGAGACGCGAAAGCGUGGGGAGCGAACAGG